rnacentral:rRNA from 1 species
GAUGUUUGGAUAACUGUGGCAAUUCUAGAGCUAAUACAUGCAAUCAAGCUCCAACCUUCGUGGGACGAGCGCUCUUAUUAGACCAAGGCCAACCUGCUGGGCAACUGGCAGUUAGCUGUGGUGACUCUGGAUAAACACAGUUGAUCGCACGACUUUACGUCGGCGACGUAUCUUUCAAGCGUAUGCCCUAUCAGCUGUCGACGGUAGGGUAGCGGCCUACCGUGGCAUCAACGGGUAACGGGGGAUCAGGGUCCGAUCCCGGAGAGUAAGCCUGAGAGACGGCUUACACAUCUAAGGAAGGCAGCAGGCGCGCAAAUUACCCAAUGGGGAAACCCUGAGGUAGUGACAAGAAAUAACAAUACGCGACUCUUUCGAGGCCGCGUAAUUGGAAUGAGCACAGUCUAAAUCCUUUAGCGAGGAUCAAUUGGAAGGCAAGUCUGGUGCCAGCAGCCGCGGUAAUUCCAGCUCCAAUAACGUAUAUUAAAGUU